GAUGAACGCUGGCGGCGUGCCUAAUACAUGCAAGUCGAGCGAACAGACGAGGAGCUUGCUCCUCUGACGUUAGCGGCGGACGGGUGAGUAACACGUGGAUAACCUACCUAUAAGACUGGGAUAACUUCGGGAAACCGGAGCUAAUACCGGAUAAUAUAUUGAACCGCAUGGUUCAAUAGUGAAAGACGGUUUUGCUGUCACUUAUAGAUGGAUCCGCGCCGCAUUAGCUAGUUGGUAAGGUAACGGCUUACCAAGGCAACGAUGCGUAGCCGACCUGAGAGGGGAAUCGGCCACACUGGAACUGAGACACGGUCCAGACUCCUACGGGAGGCAGCAGUAGGGAAUCUUCCGCAAUGGGCGAAAGCCUGACGGAGCAACGCCGCGUGAGUGAUGAAGGUCUUCGGAUCGUAAACUCUGUUAUUAGGGAAGAACAAAUGUGUAAGUAACUAUGCACGUCUUGACGGUACCUAAUCAGAAAGCCACGGCUAACUACGUG
rnacentral:rRNA from 1 species